CCUACGGGAGGCAGCAGUGGGGAAUUUUGGACAAUGGGCGAAAGCCUGAUCCAGCAAUGCCGCGUGUGUGAAGAAGGCCUUCGGGUUGUAAAGCACUUUUGUCCGGAAAGAAAUCCUUGGCUCUAAUACAGCCGGGGGAUGACGGUACCGGAAGAAUAAGCACCGGCUAACUACGUGCCAGCAGCCGCGGUAAU
rnacentral:rRNA from 1 species